CUAAAUCUGGCAUGCCCUGUAAGAGUUAAUAGUAAUACACAGACACCAUGCUUUAAAUUCUAUUGGAAACAAAAUGAGUUAGUGGUGUGUUGUACAGUGUAGGGUAGCUUUAUUUUACUACACCUGCUUUUAAUAAAGUACUUCUUCUUCCAAAAGGCUGGAGAGAUACCAUUGGCUUAAAAGGAAAUUUAUUAUUUCUAUGCAUUUUACAGUAUGUAGAUAUUUGACUUCUCUGUAUUUACAAGAUUUAAAUAUUUUUAUAUAUGGUUUGUGUAUCAUAAAUUCAGAUAUUUUUCGAUGAAGCUUUUAGAUUGAGAUAGAGUGGAAGACUAAAUAUGAAUGAGACUACAAAAAACAAUGGUAGAUUUUGUUCAAAUUCUGUUACAAUAUUGUCUAAAUAUUUUAGAAUUUCAAUACUUUUGCUCUUAAAUAGAUUUCUAUGCUUAAAGACUGUUAGAAUAUGAUCAAGUAUUUUAAUGUGAUACUAGUAAGAGUACUGUACUAUGCACAAACUUUUAGCUGUAGUUCAAACAAUAAAAACUUUAAAAUGAUCUAUUAACCAUAAUUCAUGUAUCUUUCUCUGAGUCAUUUAAGCAUGCAAAACAUACUU